rnacentral:rRNA from 1 species
GACGAACGCUGGCGGCGUGCCUAAUACAUGCAAGUCGAACGCUGAAGGAGGAGCUUGCUCUUCUGGAUGAGUUGCGAACGGGUGAGUAACGCGUAGGUAACCUGCCUGGUAGCGGGGGAUAACUAUUGGAAACGAUAGCUAAUACCGCAUAACAGUAGAUGUUGCAUGACAUUUGCUUAAAAGGUGCAAUUGCAUCACUACCAGAUGGACCUGCGUUGUAUUAGCUAGUUGGUGGGGUAACGGCUCACCAAGGCGACGAUACAUAGCCGACCUGAGAGGGGGGUCGGCCACACUGGGACUGAGACACGGCCCAGACUCCUACGGGAGGCAGCAGUAGGGAAUCUUCGGCAAUGGACGGAAGGCUGACCGAGCAACGCCGCGUGAGUGAAGAAGGUUUUCGGAUCGUAAAGCUCUGUUGUAAGAGAAGAACGAGUGUGAGAGUGGAAAGUGCACACUGUGACGGUAUCUUACCAGAAAGGGACGGCUAACUACGUG